rnacentral:rRNA from 1 species
GAUGAACGCUGGCGGCGUGCCUAAUACAUGCAAGUCGAGCGAACAGACGAGGAGCUUUCUCCUCUGACGUUAGCGGCGGACGGGUGAGUAACACUUGGAUCACCUACCUCUAAGACUUGGAUAACUUCGGAAAACCGGUGCUAAUACCGGAUAAUAUAUUUAACCGCAUGGAUCAAUAGUUAAAGACGGUUUUUCCGUCUCUUAUAGAUGAAUCCGCGCCUCCUUAGCUACUUGGUAAGGUAACGGCUUACCCAGGCGACGAUGCGUAGCCGACCUGAGAGGGUGAUCGGCCACACUGGAACUGAGACACGGUCCAGACUCCUACGGGAGGCAGCAGUAGGGAAUCUUCCGCAAUGGGCGAAAGCCUGACGGAGCCACGCCGCGUGAGUGAUGAAGGUCUUCGGAUCGUAAAACUCUGUUAUUAGGGAAGAACAAAUGUGUAAGUAACUAUGCAUGUCUUGACGGUACCUAAUCAGAAAGCCACGGCUAACUACGUG